GCUGCCUCCCGCCCCGCCGGGCUGCUGAGCUCUGCCCGGGGCUGACGUCAAGGCCCCAAAAUUCCUGCCUUUCCCCGCAGGCACAUUUGGCCAUCUUUAAUGUCCGCAGUCACCGCUUAAGAGCCCCAGGAGGGAAAGUCUGCGCGUAAGGACCCAAAAAAGGACGUUAAGUGCCUAAAAGAAUUGAGAAGCUGAAGUAUGGAGUUCUGAUCCAGCCUCCCCUGCCCUUCCCUGGCUGCUCAAGUGUCUAAAACAAGGAAGGAUGGACCCGCACACUCUGGCAGAUCGGAGACCCCAGAAGCUGCUGCUGCACCCUUAGGGGCACCCCUUCCCCAGCAGGCCCCACAGCACAGGAAUUGUGACGUAUCCCACAUUCAGUCCUUGCUGCAAAUGAUCUGUCUGUGGGUUAUUUGGUGUCCUGUGCUGGCCUCCUGCACCAGGGGUGCUAAAUUCCUGUAGAGGAACGGGGAGGACUGCCGAGGCCAGAUGUCAUCAUGCAGCUAAAUCCGUGCGAGCCUUUCAGUCCCAUCACAGAAGUUUUCUAAGCACUGUGACUAGAAAUACCUUAGCCUUGUCCUAGCCGCCUACCCCGUGUUUAAACCCUGCUGAGAUCCAACACCAAAGCAGAAUAGCGCAUGAGUCACUAGGGCCCCAUGCUGUAGGUGUACCUAGAGUGCCAAUAACACUGCGAGCGUGGCCUGUUGUGAAAGACAAACGUGGCUGCUUCCUAAAGCACUGCUGGGCAAGGCUGGAGCACUGGCACUGGCUGCGUGGCCAAAGGCUUUGCCCAAGGCCCUGCAGGCCUGGCUUCAGUUCCUGCCCGGGGGAUGCUACAGCUCAAGUGUCUCCUUCCAGACCACCAGGCUGCAAGGCCAUGCUCCUUCAUCGCACUCUGAGGAAUGCUCCUGAUGGUAUUUUCUGCUGCAGAGGUCAGGCAGUCAUCACGAGGGGCUCGCUGGUGCUAAUGGCUGUCAGUCUCAGCAUGGUGUGGCUCUCGCCAGAGUCCUGAUUUGUAGUGCUCCAGAGAAGCGGAUUUACAGAGGAAUUGUUGCGUGUUUUUUUUUUUUUUAUUAUUAUUCUCCAUGAAAUUCUCUUUUGCAAAUCUGCAACAGUCCUUGUGUAAUAUCAACUAGUAUCUAGGGGAAGCAGCUGAAAACUAAAAGAAAACUGUUUGGCCCAAGAUGAGAGACAAGUGUUCUCCAUUUAGUAUUUCAGAGAAAACCAGUGGUCAAAUAUUUUCCUUGUCCCAUAUCCAACAAUUAUUGCUUCUUUAUCCAUCAAGCUUAUGCAAUUUUCCAGUCGCGUUAGCAGAAGAGAGGAUACUUUGCACGUCCAUAGCAGCCUCCUUUGAAUGAUCUCAACAAUUUUAAGCUUUGGGCCUCCAAACUAUGAGAUAGUACUCCCACUACCUCCGUUUUGCAGGUAGGUGAACUGUGACUAAUCCUCUGCAGCACAGCGGUGGAAGUUUGAUUCCCAGCCCAUUACCCUUGUAACAUGCAGCCCAGAAUGGUCACUGCCUUGUCAAGCACUGUGUGAAUUUUCUAUUUUUUCAAUUUCCUAUCAUGACCAAUAUCAUACAUUUUGGAAAUGAAAGUAGAAACUUCGAGGUGUUGAGCCUGGCUGUGAAAAUCUACUCUUUGCCUGGAAAGAAUCAAAAAUACUGGCAAUGUGCGAUCAUUCCUUUGGUAAUAUCUACCGCACCCUGCACCAUAGCAGCAAAAUGAAUUAAACAGCAAAAGACUGAAAUGCCUUAUAUUGCAUAGGCCACUCAGGAGGCAGUAAUACAAGAGUCAGCAUGGGCCAAUAUUAAUUCAAGGAAAUGAAGUAUUUUAGUGGUUAAGGUACAUGACUUGAAGCCUGGAAACCUGGCCUCUGUUCCUACUUUUCCUGUGUUGUAUGACUUUAGACCAGUCAGUUCACCUUCCUGUGUCUCCAGAAGCUCUUAUAAGCCCAAAGCACGCAUGCAGGCUCUGUGCUGCACUCUUCCUCUGCAAGAAAGGACACACCACAACCAGCCUGAAGUAAAACCUCCCACCAGAUUGUUUGCAACGGGAUUCUGUACAAAGUUUCCAGAAGUCAGCAGAUGAAACCUCAUUUUUCAGAGUCUGAGUCUCUUCUUCUUGGUGAAAUUCUGGAUGCAAAACCAUGAAAAAACAACAACAACA